rnacentral:rRNA from 1 species
AGACGACGCUGGCGGCGUGCCUAACACAUGCAAGUCGAGCGGGGUAGCCGGAAGGUGUAGCGAUACAGCGGAGGGGUACCUAGCGGCGAACGGGUGAGUAACGCGUGGGCAAUCUGCCCCCGGGGCGGAUAACAGACCGAAAGGCCUGCUAAUACCGCAUGAAGCCGUCCUAUCGCAUGAUAAGAUGGUAAAAGGGGAAACCCGCCUGGGGAGGAGCCCGCGUCCCAUUAGCUAGUUGGUGGUGUAAAGGACCACCAAGGCGAUGAUGGGUAGCCGGCCUGAGAGGGUGAACGGCCACAUUGGGACUGAGACACGGUCCAGACUCCUACGGGAGGCAGCAGUGGGGAAUCUUCCGCAAUGGGCGCAAGCCUGACGGAGCAACGCCGCGUGAGUGAAGAAGGCCUUCGGGUUGUAAAACUCUGUCUUCAGGGAAGAAAAAAAUGACGGUACCUGAGGAGGAAGCCCCGGCUAACUACGUG